UUGCUUUCUUCAUGACUUAAGUUGAAAUUUUUUUGAAAGUAAAGCAAUGGGUGAUUUUAAGUCAUGUCCUCAAAGUUUAACAUAACAAUGUUAAUAUUAAUUAAACAAUGGUAAAAAUGUAAGCCAGUAAUUUCAAUGUUUUUCUUUUAAUGAUCUUGACAAAUCUUAAAAGAGUAGCACAUGUGUACAUCUUACUCACAGACUUCUUCCCUUUCUCAAGACGCUGAAUUUGAUGUCUUAAUGGAUACAGUAUAGCAUAAAACAGAGGAGUUCUCUUUUUAUAAUUUAGAUUCUUUCCUCUGUGUGAAUACUUACAGCUGAAGAGUCCGGAAAGUUCACAAAAAAUUAAAAUUAAAUUAACCUUAAUGUAUUUAAGUUCAUGCUGCAUACUAUUAUUGUUUUCUGAUGUUAACACCCACACCAACACACACCCACCCACACACACUUGGAAAUUUUAGAAAUUUUGGUUAAAUUUGUAUCUAAGUUCAAUGAGCUCAUUGUCGAAAUGGAUAGCCGGCAAUACUUCUGUUGUUCCCUAUUUAUUUAUUUUCGAAUUGGAUUUCUGGAUUCGCUAUUGCAUCUGUUGUUCCCUAAAUUCUUUCAGUUCAAUGUCUAAAUUGAUUGAUCAAGGAAGCAAAAUCUCUUGAGAUAGAGCACUAGCUUCAGUACUCUAUACUUCUGUUCUUAUAUGGUGUAGAUUCUCUACUUUUUGGUAUACCUUUAGUAUAUGGGAGAUUUUCACGUUACUAAAAUUACUUACCUUCUCAAAAUAUAUUAUUAUAUGGACUUCUUUGUUUAUCAGGUUAUGAGGAUCUGGUUCAGCUGAGAGAGAAUGAAAACUCAGAAAGGAAUGAGACUGCAGCUAUACUUGGUGGUGGAAAAGGUAAGACGUGUUGUAACUUUUUUAUUUUUAUGUUGGUGGCGGGAAAGAAGAUAAGAUUGUGCUUGGUGAUUUUUGGAGCAUACUUUUAAUAUUCAGAUCACAUGAUGACCAAAGCAAAAUACCAGAAGUCUUGAGUGGAGGAUAAGGUCCAGAUCCAUCGGCAAAUUUUCCACCAACUUUGGCAGGGAAAUGAGUAGCUUUUGAGCUAACUUUCUUGAUCUUUAUUAAGGUACUUUCUUUUGACACAAAAACAAGAGCCAAAAAGAAAAGUUACUAAUAGAAUAUUAUUAUUAUUUUUAUUUUAUUUUUUCUAUUUCAAAAAAAAUAUUCUAUUAGUAACUUUUCUUUUUGGCUCUCGUUUUUGUGUCAAAAGAAAGUACCUUAAUAAAGAUCAAGAAAGUUAGCUCAAAAGCUACUCAUUUCCCUGCCAAAGUUGGUGGAAAAUUUGCCGAUGGAUCUGGACCUUAUCCUCCACUCAAGACUUCUGGUAUUUUGCUUUGGCCAUCAUGUGAUCUGAUGUUUGUUCUUUUUUUCUUUUUUUUUGCUUUCUUCAUGACUUAAGUUGAAAUUCUUUUGAAAGUAAAGCAAUGGGGGAUUUUAAGUCACAUCCUCAAAGUUUAACAUAACAAUGUUAAUAUUAAUUAAACAAUGGUAAAAAUGUAAGCCAGUAGUAUAAAACGUUUUUCUUUUAAUUAUCUUGACAAAUCUUAAACGAGUAGCACUUUUGUACAUCUUAAUCACAAACUUCUUCCCUUUUCUCAAGACGCUGAAUUUGAUGUCUUAACGGAUACACUCUAGCAUAAAACAGAGGAGUUCUCUUUUUAUAAUUCAGAUUCUUUCCUCUGGGUGAAUAAUUGCAGCUGAAAGUCCGGAAAGCUGCUAAUGACCCACAAAAAAUUAAAAUUAAAAUAACCUUAAUCUAUUUAAGUUCAUUCUGCAUACUAUUGUUGUUUUCUGAUGUUAACACCCACACACAAACACUUAGAAAUUUUAGAAAAUUUGGUUAAAUUUGUAAAUCAAUGAGCUCACUGUCAAAAUGGAUAGGCGGCAAUACUUCUGUUGUUCCCUAAUUUUUUUUAAUUUUUUUUGUGUAUUCAAUUUCUGGAUUCUCUCUUGCAUCUGUUGCUCCCUAAAUUCUUUCAAUUCAAUGUCUAAAUUGAUUGAUCAAGGCAGAAAAAUCUCUUGAGAUAGAGUAAUUAGCUUCAGUACUCUGUACUUCUGUUCUUAUAUGGUGUAGAUUCUCUACUUUUUGCUAUACCUCUUGUAUAUGGGAGAUUUUCACGUUACUAAAAUUAUUUACCUCAUCAAAUAUAUUAUUAUAUGUACUUCUUUGUUUAUCAGGUUAUGAGGAUCUGGUUCAGCUGAGAGAGAAAGAAAACUCAGAAAGGAAUGAGACUGCAGCUACACUUGCUGGUGGAAAAGGUAAGACUUGUUGUAACUUUUUUAUUUUUGAUGUUGGUGGCGGGGAAAGAAGGUAAGAUUGUAUUUGUUGGUUUUAGGAUUAUAAUUUUAAUAUUCUAUUAGUAACUUUUCUUUUUGGCUCUCGUUUUUGUGUCAAAAGAAAGUAACUUAAUAAAGAUCAAGAAAGUUAGCGCAGAAGCUACUCAUUUCCCUGCCAAAGUUGGUGGAAAUUUGCCGAUGGAUCUGGACCUUAUCCUCCACUCAAGACUUCUGGUAAUUUGCUUUGGUCAUCAUGUGAUCUGAUGUUUGUUCUUUUUUUCUUUUUCUUUUUUUUGCUUUCUUCAUGACUUAAGUUGAAAUUCUUUUGAAAGUAAAGCAAAGGAGGAUUUUAAGUCACGUCCUCAAAGUUUAACAUAACAAUGUUAAUAUUGAUUAAACAAUGGUAAAAAUGUAAGCCAGUAGUUUAAAACGUUUUUCGUUUAAUGAUCUUGACAAAUCUUAAAAGAGUAGCACUUAUGUACAUCUUACUCACAGGCUUCUUCCCUUUUCUCAAGACGCUGAAUUUGAUGUCUUACUGGAUACAUUCUGGCAUAAAACAGAGGUGUUCUCUGUUUAUAAUUCAGAUUCUUUCCUCUGUGUGAAUACUUGCAGCUGAAGAGUCCGGAAAGCUGCUAUUGACCCACAAAAUAUUAAAAUUAAAAUAACCUUAAUGUAUUUAAGUUCAUGCUGCAUAUUAUUAUUGUUUUCUGAUGUUAACACCCACACCAACACACACACACACUUAGAAAUUUUAGAAAAUUUGGUUAAAUUUGUAUUCAAGUCCAAUGAGCUUACUGUCGAAAUAGAUAGGUGCCAAUACUUCUGUUGUUCCCUUUUUUUUUUUUUCUAAUUCGAUUUCUGGAUUUGCUCUUGCAUCUGUUGUUCCCUAGUUUUUUUCAGUUCAAUGUCUAAAUUGCUUGAUCAAGGCAGCAAAAUCUCUUGAGAUAGAGUAAUUAGCUUCAGUACUCUAUAGUUUUGUUCUUAUAUGGCGUAGAUUCUCUACUCUUUUGUAUACCUCUUGUAUAUGGGAGAUUUUCACUUUACUAAAAUCAUUUACCUUAUCAAAAUAUAUUAUUAUAUGUACUUCUUUGUUUAUCAGGUCAUGAGGAUCUGGUUCAGCUGAGAGAGAAAGAAAACUCGGAAAGGAAUGAGACUGCAGCUACACUUGGUGGUGGAAAAGGUAAGACUUGUUGUAACUUUUUUAUUUUUGAUAUUGGUGGCGGGGAAAGAAGAUAAGAUUGUAUUUCUUUGUUUUAGGAUUAUACUUCUAAUAUUCUAUCAGUAACUUUUCUUUUUGGCUCUUGUUUUUGUGUCAAAAGAAAGUAACUUAACAAAGAUCAAGAAAGUUAGCGCAGAAGCUACUCAUUUCCCUGCCAAAGUUGGUGGAAAAUUUGCCGAUGGAUCUGGACCUUAUCCUCCACUCAAGACUUCUGGUAUUUUAGGAAAAAGAAGCAAUGAUAGUAGUGUUAUUACAAAGGCUGGAUCUGAAGUUCCUGCUACACAUACAUCUUACUCACAGGCUUCUUCCCUUUUCUCAAGACGCUGAAUUUGAUGCCUUAAUGGAUACACUCUGGCAUAAAACAGAGGUGUUCUCUGUUUAUAAUUCAGAUUCUUUCCUCUGUGUGAAUACUUGCAGCUGAAGAGUCCGGAAAGCUGCUAUUGACCCACAAAAUAUUAAAAUUAAAAUAACCUUAAUGUAUUUAAGUUCAUGCUGCAUAUUAUUAUUGUUUUCUGAUGUUAACACCCACACCAACACACACACACACUUAGAAAUUUUAGAAAAUUUGGUUAAAUUUGUAUUUAAGUUCAAUGAGCUCACUGUCGAAAUGGAUAAGUGCCAAUACUUCUGUUGUUCCCUUUCUUCUUUUUUUUCUAAUUUGAUUUCUGGAUUUGCUCUUGCAUCUGUUGUUCCCUAAAUUUUUUCAAUUCAAUGUCUAAAUUGCUUGAUCAAUGCAGCAAAAUCUCUUGAGAUAGAGUAAUUAUCUUCAGUACUCUAUAGUUUUAUUCUUAUAUGGUGUAGAUUCUCUACUUUUUUGUAUACCUCUUGUAUAUGGGAGAUUUUCACUUUACUAAAAUCAUUUACCUUAUCAAAAUAUAUUAUUAUAUGUACUUCUUUGUUUAUCAGGUAAUGAGGAUCUGGUUCAGCUGAGAGAGAAUGAAAACUCAGAAAGGAAUGAGACUGCAGCUACACUUGGUGGUGGAAAAGGUAAGACUUGUUGUAACUUUUUAUUUUGAUAUUGGUGGCGGGGAAAGAAGAUAAGAUUGUAUUUCUUUGUUUUAGGAUUAUACUUCUAAUAUUCUAUUAGUAACUUUUCUUUUUGGCUCUUGUUUUUGUGUCAAAAGAAAGUAACUUAAUAAAGAUCAAGAAAGUUAGCGCAGAAGCUACUCAUUUCCCUGCCAAAGUUGGUGGAAAAUUUGCUGAUGGAUCUGGAC
rnacentral:lncRNA from 1 species